rnacentral:lncRNA from 1 species
CCGGCUUUCACGGAAGCUUUCAAUGCAAACCCAAGAUGAGAUGACUUCCUCAAGGUGACGAAAGCUCAGACCUCCGUGCUCGAGCCCUGAUGGGACACCAAACCCAAGCGGCCCCAGACGAACCUGCGGCCACGGGCGAAAAAGAUGGGUCGAUACGUUGACAAUCGGGUACCUCCGAAUAAUACAAAGGUUGAAAAGAAGCUCGGCAAACGAUAAUUCAACACAUGAGUAAAAGAGGCGAGCUGACGUUACAACCAUCGGUAACCUACGGACGACGUUAAAAAAAGGAGGAGAAGGGAAUACAACAAUAACAACGGUAAAGAAAAAAGUUCGACAGACAACGAUUCGACGUAAAGUACGGACGAGGUAACAAAAUCACCUUCUCAUUUUUCGAAUAACAAGAUGUACGUUACAAGACCCGGAGGGUCAGAAAAGAAUACAUUAUUACAAGGCUCGAAAACACG